rnacentral:rRNA from 1 species
AAGCCUGAUGCAGCAACGCCGCGUGAACGAUGAAGGUCUUCGGAUCGUAAAGUUCUGUUGCAGGGGAAGAUAAUGACGGUACCCUGUGAGAAGCCCCGGCUAACUACGUGCCAGCAGCCGCGGUAAUACGUAGGGGGCUAGCGUUAUCCGGAUUUACUGGGCGUAAAGGGUGCGUAGGUGGUCCUUCAAGUCGGUGGUUAAAGGCUACGGCUCAACCGUAGUAAGCCGCCGAAACUGGAGGACUUGAGUGCAGGAGAGGAAAGUGGAAUUCCCAGUGUAGCGGUGAAAUGCGUAGAUAUUGGGAGGAACACCAGUAGCGAAGGCGGCUUUCUGGACUGCAACUGACACUGAGGCACGAAAGCGUGGGUAGCAAACAGGAUUAGAUACCCUGGUAGUCCACGCUGUAAACGAUGAGUACUAUGUGUCGGGGUUACCCCCCUCGGUGCCGC